UCUUUGAAUGCGGGACCAACUUGGGCCUCAGCCCGUCCCAUCUCUACCCACCAGACUUCUACUUCGAGGCAGGAAACAAGGGCACCGUCUCCUUCUCCGCGGCACUGCAUUGCAGCAGUAGAUGGGCUGUUAGGGUAAGAAUGAAUUAGAAGCAAGGAGUGCAGGAAGCCUGACGAAGCCAACCUCUUGAAAGGGAUGAACUGCAGUAUCAAUGUCCAGACAUGAGGCUAUUUAUAGCGAAGACUCCAAAAUAGUCCAUGCUGAAUCUGGUGCUCCAGGUAAGAUGGCAGACAAGUUGUUUCUCUGGCCCGAGAAAGAUGAAGGUUUUCUGAGCUAUAACAAUAUGGAUUCGAUCUGACAUGGCAUCAAUCAGAUAGCUAAGUUUAGGAGCCGAAAGCGCUUUGAGGAAGCAGAUGGCGAAACUCAUGUGAACAGCCCCACUGGCCCCAUCAACAGCAGCACUGAUGAGAAGCAAAGUGAAGUGCGAGUUGGCAUUAAAGAAUGCAUACUUGAACCAACCAGCCAUUGAGACCAGUGAUGCUUCCAGAGCAAAAAGAAGAGCCUCUACUUACACUCCCAAUUGUUUCCAUUACAAGGCCACUCCACUCUAUCCUACCUCCCUCCCUCCCUCGGUGUUUAUUAGCUGCAUGUGGGAGUCACUUCAAUUCACCUCAUUACCCGAGGUUUUUUGAAGUUGUUCUAGGUCCAUGAUUUCCUCUGUAAUUGAGAUUUGUUGCUUCGUAUAUGAGUGUGUUGUGUUUUGUUUUGUUUUCUGUAAUCCAAUGUAUUUUCUGAAGCAAGACCAUGGAAAAUUGAAUGGAAUGUCAAUGUGAAAUAAGUACCUGUGUUUAGUGAA